rnacentral:rRNA from 1 species
AUGGCGCUUAAGCUCUUGGCGGAAGCGAGCCCGCAGGAGUUGCUCGUAGCUCUUGCGGAGCUCCAGAACCACGUGCUCGGCUACGUCAAGUCCAUGUCGCUCAAGUGCGCCGUGGACCUCGGCAUCACCGACGCCAUCCACCGCCGCGGCAGCACCGCCACCCUGGCCGACAUCGCGGCCGACACCAAGGAGAUGGCGAGCAAGGACGCCGGGUUCAACCGCGUCCUGAACGACGCCAUGACCGCGGACAGCGAGCUCUUCCUCGAGGUCACCCUUCUGGAUAAGGGCCGCAUCUUCCGCGGCCUGAGCUCGCUCGUGGACGUCGGCGGCGGCAACGGCGCGGGCAAGGAGUGA